rnacentral:snRNA from 1 species
AUUUCUUUCUCGGCCUUUUGGCUAAGAUAAAGUGUAAUGCUUGUUCUUAUUUGUUUAUUAUCUGGUAUAUAUGUUCACUUUGGCUUUAAAUUUAUUUUUUUAGGUUUUUUUAGAGGUCCACUACACUAGUUAAUUAGGCUCUUUCCCAUCGCUGCUAGUAAGCAUCA